AAUGAAAUGAUUUUAUAAAAUUAUCUUGAAAUUGAAAGAUGGUUUUGAAAAUGGAGUAAUUGGAGACUAAUUACUGUGUUAUAAAUCAUGGUUUGAAUUGAAUGGCUUAUGAUAAUAUUGGCAUGAAUGGUUGAAUUGGUAUUUGUGUUGAAAUAUAUAAACUGUUGUUUGCCUUGCUAGGUUGGAUAAUGAUAAAAUUGCCAUGUCAUGCUGUUAAAUUUUAUUGUAUGGUGGUUUUAGCUUGUUGUAGUGGGCUGGUUCUGUGGACUAGCCUAUUAGAGGGGCACAGAACCUGGUCAUAUUCUUACCUCUGUUGGAAAGGCGAGUAGGGUAACUCCCGAGGUAUAACUUUAGAGUUCACUUCACGCCAAACCACCUCGUGAUGAUGAACUCCGCUAACGCCAA
rnacentral:lncRNA from 1 species